UAGUCACACGUCAUUUAAUAUUUCAACACGAUAGUGUCUAGUUAUUAUUAAAGCGUUUUACUGAAGUAAAAAUGGGCUACAAAUUGGGAAUCUUCAUCCUUGGGCUUUGCCUGAUUGCAACUUUGGAUGUGUCAGAAGGUUCAAAACGAGAAAUUUCUUGUAAAUGCAUUGCAAGCCAGCAUUGUGAGGGUGAACAUUUAUUCAUAUCCGAAGCAGAUGCAGAUUGCCCGGAUGGAAAAGUUUACUGUUGUAAAAGACAACAAACACGAAAAUAAGGGACACGAUCUCUAGAAUGACACACUUUAGAAAGAGGAGACAAACGCCGAUUGUGCAUUAAUUUGUGAAAAGAAAAUUAAAAUAAACGAAUACUCAAUCAUGGA